CUUCACGACCCAACACCGAGGCCUGAGUACGCCUGAUCUCGUCUGAUCUCGGAAGCUAAGCAGGGUCGGGCCUGGUUAGUACUUGGAUGGGAGACCGCCUGGGAAUACCAGGUGCUGUAAGCU
rnacentral:rRNA from 1 species